ACGAACGCUGGCGGCGUGCUUCACCCAUGCCAGUCGUACGGUAAGGCCCUUUCGGGGGUCCACGAGUGGCGAACGGGUGAGUAACACGUGAGUAACCUGCCCACAACUUUGGGAUAACGCUAGGAAACUGGUGCUAAUACUGGAUAUGUGCUCCUGCUGCAUGGUGGGGGUUGGAAAGCUCCGGCGGUUGUGGAUGGACUCGCGGCCUAUCAGCUUGUUGGUGGGGUAGUGGCCUACCAAGGCGGCGACGGGUAGCCGGCCUGAGAGGGUGACCGGCCACAUUGGGACUGAGAUACGGCCCAGACUCCUACGGGAGGCAGCAGUGGGGAAUAUUGCACAAUGGGCGCAAGCCUGAUGCAGCAACGCCGCGUGCGGGAUGACGGCCUUCGGGUUGUAAACCGCUUUCAGCAGGGACGAAGCUUUUUGUGACGGUACCUGCAGAAGAAGCACCGGCUAACUACGUG
rnacentral:rRNA from 1 species